GAAGCUUGGGCAAGAAGGAUCCAAUUUCUGAUCACCAGGGUCAUGUAUUUAUAGCCAUGCUCAUUGUUUUUUGCACACUUCAAAAAUUGGCCAAAAUUGGAAAGGUGAGAUGCAUGCUUGCAUGGGCGUGUGAUAGGCCCAUGAGAUGAUGUAAUUAAGUCCGAAAAUGAUCAUGAGUGAUGCUGAAAGUGUAACAUGAAGCCACGCAUUUAAAUUUGAG
rnacentral:lncRNA from 1 species